UUUUAUGAGAGUUUGAUCCUGGCUCAGGACGAACGCUGGCGGCGUGCCUAAUACAUGCAAGUCGUACGCUUCUUUUUCCACCGGAGCUUGCUCCACCGGAAAAAGAAGAGUGGCGAACGGGUGAGUAACACGUGGGUAACCUGCCCAUCAGAAGGGGAUAACACUUGGAAACAGGUGCUAAUACCGUAUAACAAUCGAAACCGCAUGGUUUUGAUUUGAAAGGCGCUUUCGGGUGUCGCUGAUGGAUGGACCCGCGGUGCAUUAGCUAGUUGGUGAGGUAACGGCUCACCAAGGCCACGAUGCAUAGCCGACCUG
rnacentral:rRNA from 2 species